AACUAAAGAAAUGGUCAUCCAACAGC
rnacentral:sRNA from 1 species